rnacentral:tRNA from 1 species
UUCCCUGUGGUCUAGUGGCUAAGACACUGUGCUUCCAGUGCAGGGGGCCCAGGGUUCAAUCCCUGGUUGGGGAA